rnacentral:rRNA from 1 species
AGCCUCAUGAACUUUAUAUGAGGUAUUUCCUGCCCGGUGAAUAUUUUAACGGCCGCAGUACCCUGACUGUGCAAAGGUAGCAUAAUCAUUUGCCUUUUAAUUGGAGGCUAGUAUGAAUGGAGCCACGCGAAUAAAGCUGUCUCUAAUAUAUAAAUAAAAACUAGACUCUAAGUGAAAAUACUUAGAUUAAAAUAAAGGACAAAAAGACCCUAUAGAGCUGUAUUUAUACUGGCCACGAAAAGCAUUAUACAUUUGACUCACUUCUCUAUAAAUUUGGUUGGGGCGACAAAGGAAUAUGCAAAUCUUCCUUCUGUAAAAAGAAAACAAUUCUUACAAAAGAUCCUAUAAAGAUCAAAGGAAAAAGCUACCUUAGGGAUAACAGACUAAUCUCCUUAGAGAGCCCAAAUUGACAAGGAGGAUUGGCACCUCGAUGUUGGCUUAAGAUAUCCUUUAGGUGCAGAAGCCUAAAAAGGUUGGUUUGUUCAACCAUUAAAAUCUU